ACACUAAAUGUUAUUUUUAGGAUAAUAUUUACUCUUUAAGAAUUGACAGAAUGUCCUUCACCUCUAAAGAUGAGUCUUUUUUUUUUUUUUAAAUCACCGGUGUGAUAUUUUGUGCUAAGAAGUGGAGCUUCAGUGACUCCACCCACCUGGAUUACUUCAUAUGCAGCCAUAGCAACAAAACCAAAGACAAUCUGACUGGAACAAAAUGAUCCUCUUCAUCCUCUGCUGCUUAAGCCUACAUAUCACACUUGUUUCUGGUUCCUCUCCAAGCGACCAAAUCGUCCAGAUUCCAGCUGACAUGUUCAAAAACCCUGGAGAAACGGCCAAGAUCAGCUGCAGUCACAGUAUCCCAGACUACGAUCGCGUCCUCUGGUACAAGCAGUCGAAGCUUCAUGAGAUGAAGCUCCUGGGAUACAUGCUGGGAGACAACGGAUAUCCAGAGAAGGAGCUCAACGUGAACAUAGACGGGAGCGCGAACAGAGACAAAAACAGCACUUUAACCGUCACAGAGCUCAGCCCAGACAGCAGUGCAGUUUACUACUGCGCUGCUCGCUACCACAGUGCUGCAUAUCACUGCUGCUCAGCGCAAAAACCUCCUCACAGGUGCAGCUGGGUUAGCUCUGGGGUCCUGAUAGUUUUAGGCUUUUCAUUAUAGUUUACGUUUAUUUUUGUUGGGACUCUUUGUUCGUCUGAUUCAGUUAGUUUUAGAGUGUCUUAACCUGUUUUUACGAGCUACUAUUGGUUAAAAAUGUCUUCAGUUUAGUUUUUACCAAUCACAGUAAUAGUUUUAGUUUUUUCAUACUUUGGUUAUUUUUUUUAGGUGAUUUAGAAAAGCACUGUAUUGUCAUUACGUGUGCAUUGAUUGGGUAAUGAAUGGUCAACAGACGAUACAAUAAAAAUCAGUUAUUGUUGA